rnacentral:rRNA from 1 species
UGCUAAACUGCGAAAAGCGUCGGUAAGGUGAUAUGAACCGUUAUAACCGGCGAUGUCCGAAUGGGGAAAUCCAGGGUUAUUCUUGACACUAUCGUUAACUGAAUACAUAGGUUAACGAGGCGAACCGGGGGAACUGAAACAUCUAAGUACCCCGAGGAAAAGAAAUCAACCGAGAUUCCCCCAGUAGCGGCGAGCGAACGGGGAGCAGCCCAGAGUCUGAAUCAGCUUGUGUGUUAGUGGAACGGUCUGGAAAGUCCGACGGUACAGGGUGAUAGUCCCGUACACCAAAAUGCACAGGUUGUGAACUCGAAGAGUAGGGCGGGACACGUGGUAUCCUGUCUGAAUAUGGGGGGACCAUCCUCCAAGGCUAAAUACUCCUGACUGACCGAUAGUGAACCAGUACCGUGAGGGAAAGGCGAAAAGAACCCCGGCGAGGGGAGUGAAAAAGAACCUGAAACCGUGUACGUACAAGCAGUGGGAGCACCUUCGGGUGUGACUGCGUACCUUUUGUAUAAUGGGUCAGCGACUUAUAUUCUGUAGCAAGGUUAACCGUAUAGGGGAGCCGCAGGGAAACCGAGUCUUAACUGGGCGUUAAGUUGCAGGGUAUAGACCCGAAACCCGGUGAUCUAGCCAUGGGCAGGUUGAAGGUUGGGUAACACUAACUGGAGGACCGAACCGACUAAUGUUGAAAAAUUAGCGGAUGACUUGUGGCUGGGGGUGAAAGGCCAAUCAAACCGGGAGAUAGCUGGUUCUCCCCGAAAGCUAUUUAGGUAGCGCCUCGUGAACUCAUCUUCGGGGGUAGAGCACUGUUUCGGCUAGGGGGUCAUCCCGACUUACCAACCCGAUGCAAACUACGAAUACCGAAGAAUGUUAUCACGGGAGACACACGGCGGGUGCUAACGUCCGUCGUGAAGAGGGAAACAACCCAGACCGCCAGCUAAGGUCCCAAAGUCAUGGUUAAGUGGGAAACGAUGUGGGAAGGCACAGACAGCCAGGAUGUUGGCUUAGAAGCAGCCAUCAUUUAAAGAAAGCGUAAUAGCUCACUGGUCGAGUCGGCCUGCGCGGAAGAUGUAACGGGGCUAAACCAUGCACCGAAGCUGCGGCAGCGACACUAUGUGUUGUUGGGUAGGGGAGCGUUCUGUAAGCCUGCGAAGGUGUGCUGUGAGGCAUGCUGGAGGUAUCAGAAGUGCGAAUGCUGACAUAAGUAACGAUAAAGCGGGUGAAAAGCCCGCUCGCCGGAAGACCAAGGGUUCCUGUCCAACGUUAAUCGGGGCAGGGUGAGUCGACCCCUAAGGCGAGGCCGAAAGGCGUAGUCGAUGGGAAACAGGUUAAUAUUCCUGUACUUGGUGUUACUGCGAAGGGGGGACGGAGAAGGCUAUGUUAGCCGGGCGACGGUUGUCCCGGUUUAAGCAUGUAGGCUGGUUGUCCAGGCAAAUCCGGAUAAUCAAGGCUGAGGUGUGAUGACGAGGCACUACGGUGCUGAAGUAACAAAUGCCCUGCUUCCAGGAAAAGCCUCUAAGCAUCAGGUAACAUCAAAUCGUACCCCAAACCGACACAGGUGGUCAGGUAGAGAAUACCAAGGCGCUUGAGAGAACUCGGGUGAAGGAACUAGGCAAAAUGGUGCCGUAACUUCGGGAGAAGGCACGCUGGUGUGUAGGUGAAGUCCCUGCGGAUGGAGCUGAGACCAGUCGAAGAUACCAGCUGGCUGCAACUGUUUAUUAAAAACACAGCACUGUGCAAACACGAAAGUGGACGUAUACGGUGUGACGCCUGCCCGGUGCCGGAAGGUUAAUUGAUGGGGUUAUCCGUAAGGAGAAGCUCUUGAUCGAAGCCCCGGUAAACGGCGGCCGUAACUAUAACGGUCCUAAGGUAGCGAAAUUCCUUGUCGGGUAAGUUCCGACCUGCACGAAUGGCGUAAUGAUGGCCAGGCUGUCUCCACCCGAGACUCAGUGAAAUUGAACUCGCUGUGAAGAUGCAGUGUACCCGCGGCAAGACGGAAAGACCCCGUGAACCUUUACUAUAGCUUGACACUGAACAUUGAGCCUUGAUGUGUAGGAUAGGUGGGAGGCUUUGAAGCGUGGACGCCAGUCUGCGUGGAGCCAACCUUGAAAUACCACCCUUUAAUGUUUGAUGUUCUAACGUUGGCCCCUUACCGGGGUUGCGGACAGUGUCUGGUGGGUAGUUUGACUGGGGCGGUCUCCUCCCAAAGCGUAACGGAGGAGCACGAAGGUUAGCUAAUCCUGGUCGGACAUCAGGAGGUUAGUGCAAUGGCAUAAGCUAGCUUGACUGCGAGCGUGACGGCGCGAGCAGGUGCGAAAGCAGGUCAUAGUGAUCCGGUGGUUCUGAAUGGAAGGGCCAUCGCUCAACGGAUAAAAGGUACUCCGGGGAUAACAGGCUGAUACCGCCCAAGAGUUCAUAUCGACGGCGGUGUUUGGCACCUCGAUGUCGGCUCAUCACAUCCUGGGGCUGAAGUAGGUCCCAAGGGUAUGGCUGUUCGCCAUUUAAAGUGGUACGCGAGCUGGGUUUAGAACGUCGUGAGACAGUUCGGUCCCUAUCUGCCGUGGGCGCUGGAGAAUUGAGGGGGGCUGCUCCUAGUACGAGAGGACCGGAGUGGACGCAUCACUGGUGUUCGGGUUGUCAUGCCAAUGGCACUGCCCGGUAGCUAAAUGCGGAAGAGAUAAGUGCUGAAAGCAUCUAAGCACGAAACUUGCCCCGAGAUGAGUUCUCCCUGAGACUUUAAGUCUCCUGAAGGAACGUU